UGAGUACGAGACACUACGGUGUCGAAGCAGUCUAUGUCAUACUUCCAAGAAAAGCUUGCACUGUCAUAAACAAAUAAUGCCUGUACCAUAACCGGCACAGGUGGGUAGGUAGAGUAUACUAAGGGGCGCGAGAUAACUCUCUCUAAGGAACUCGGCAAAAUGACUCCGUAACUUCGGGAGAAGGAGUGCCUUAUAUUUUAUAAGGUUGCAAUAACAAGGUCCAAGCAACUGUUUACCAAAAACACAGGUCUCCGCUAGUCGUAAGACGAUGUAUGGGGGCUGACGCCUGCACAGUGCCAGAAGGUUAAAGAAGUUGGUUAGUAUUUGCGAAGCUGAUAACUGAAGCCCUGGUGAACGGCGGCCGUAACAAUAACGGUCCUAAGGUAGCGAAAUUCCUCGUCGGGUAAGUUCCGACCCGCACGAAAGGCGUAAUGAUUUGGAUACUGUCUCGGAGAGGGACUCGGUGAAAUAGACUUGUCUGUGAAGAUGCGGACUACUUGCACCAGGACAGAAAGACCCUAUGAAGCUUUACUGUAACUUGAAAUUGAAAUUGGACUUUACUUGCGCAGUAUAGGUGGGAGGCUUUGAGAAUAUUCUUGCGGGAAUAUUGGAGCCAUUAGUGAGAUACCACUCUGGUAAUGUUAGAUUUCUAACUUUGUAUCAUUAUCUGGUCAAAGAACAGUUUCAGGCGGGCAGUUUGACUGGGGCGGUCGCCUCCUAAACGGUAACGGAGGCGCACAAAGGUUUCCUCUGAACGGGUAGAAAUCGUAUCUAGAGUGUAAAGGCAUAAGGAAGCUUGACUGUGAGACCUACAAGUCGAGCAGGGACGAAAGUCGGUCUUAGUGAUCUGACGGUGCUGAGUGGAAAGGCCGUCACUCAACGGAUAAAAGUUACUCUAAGGAUAACAGGCUGAUCUCCCCCAAGAGUUCACAUCGACGGGGAGGUUUGGCACCUCGAUGUCGGCUCAUCGCAUCCUGGGGCGGUAGUACGUCCCAAGGGUUGGGCUGUUCGCCCAUGAAAGCGGUACGCGAGCUGGGUUCAGAACGUCGUGAGACAGUUCGGUCCAUAUCCGGUGUAAGCGUUAGAAUAUUGAGAGGAGCCUUCUUUAGUACGAGAGGACCGAGAAGGAUGCACCGCUGGUGUACCAGUUAUUGUGCCAACAGUAAACGCUGGGUAGCUAUGUGUGGAGUGGAUAACCGCUGAAAGCAUCUAAGUGGGAAGCCCACCUCAAGAUAAGUAUUCUUAUCACGUAAGUGAAUAAGGUCACGGCAAGACUAACCGUUUGAUAGGCAUUAAGUGUAAAUCUAGUAAUAGACGAGCUGAGAUGUACUAACAGACCGAAGACUUG
rnacentral:rRNA from 1 species